AUGAACGCUGGCGGCGUGCCUAAUACAUGCAAGUCGAGCGAACAGAUGAGGAGCUUGCUCCUCUGACGUUAGCGGCGGACGGGUGAGUAACACGUGGAUAACCUACCUAUAAGACUGGGAUAACUUCGGGAAACCGGAGCUAAUACCGGAUAAUAUAUUGUACCGCAUGGUUCAAUAGUGAAAGACGGUUUUGCUGUCACUUAUAGAUGGAUCCGCGCCGCAUUAGCUAGUUGGUAAGGUAACGGCUUACCAAGGCAACGAUGCGUAGCCGACCUGAGAGGGUGAUCGGCCACACUGGAACUGAGACACGGUCCAGACUCCUACGGGAGGCAGCAGUAGGGAAUCUUCCGCAAUGGGCGAAAGCCUGACGGAGCAACGCCGCGUGAGUGAUGAAGGUCUUCGGAUCGUAAAACUCUGUUAUUAGGGAAGAACAAAUGUGUAAGUAACUAUGCACGUCUUGACGGUACCUAAUCAGAAAGCCACGGCUAACUACGUG
rnacentral:rRNA from 1 species